rnacentral:lncRNA from 1 species
CAGCCUAGGCUGGGCCAACUUGGUGUUCGACCCGGGACUUAGAACCUUCAACAAAUUGUGCAAACAUUCAGGGACAUCUUCCAGCUGUGGUCUUAAAUGAUCCGGUUCCCCUCUCCUUGCUAACUGUCCUGUCUUCAUCCCUGGACCGUGCAACUAUGAGAUGAUGGGAAAGAUGACUGCACUUAACCCUUCUUGAUCUGGACCCACUCCCCUCCACUAGCACUGCUUCCUCCGGCACCGGCACUUUCCUUCCCAGCCUACUGCCUGCUCCUGCACGUACUGCUGUUUCCAGCCAAGGCAUCGCCUUUACAGCCAAAGGACAGGGCAGUGGGGAGACCCCAUGGGAUUCACUAGGGUUCCAUGUACCCUGUCCCUCCACAGGACCCACCCCUGUGGGAUGGUGAUCUGGCUUCUCAGGACCACUCAGGAUUAUUUAGGAGCUCAGCUGGAAGAUGCCACCACAAGACUGCAGAGAGUCCUACAGCAUAUGACCCUGGACCCUGGUGAAUGGUGCCGUUCCCCUAAACCAGAAUCCACAGGCCGGGGGCCUACGGGUGAGAGUGAGGGCAGCACUUAUGGUUGGAACAUUCACAAAAGUUUACCUCUUGGCCC